CCUACGGGAGGCAGCAGUAGGGAAUAUUGCUCAAUGGGCGCAAGCCUGACCCAGCAACGCCGCGUGAAGGAAGAAGGCUCUCGGGUUGUAAACUUCUUUUAUCAGGGACGAAGCAAGUGACGGUACCUGAUGAAUAAGCCACGGCUAACUACGUGCCAGCAGCCGCGGUAAUACGUAGGUGGCAAGCGUUAUCCGGAUUUACUGGGUGUAAAGGGCGUGUAGGCGGGAAAGCAAGUCAGAUGUGAAAACCAUGGGCUCAACCUGUGGCCUGCAUUUGAAACUGUUUUUCUUGAGUACUGGAGAGGCAGACGGAAUUCCUAGUGUAGCGGUGAAAUGCGUAGAUAUUAGGAGGAACACCAGUGGCGAAGGCGGUCUGCUGGACAGCAACUGACGCUGAGGCGCGAAAGCGUGGGGAGCAAACAGGAUUAGAUACCCGGGUAGUC
rnacentral:rRNA from 1 species